rnacentral:rRNA from 1 species
AUGCCGCGCCUCCGCCUGCCCCUGCUCCUCCUCCUCCCCGUCACCUUCACCAUCUCCGUCCUCCUCUUCCUCUCUUCCUCCCCUCCCCCGCCCCCUCCACAGCCCCCCAUCCCCUGCGGCGCCGCCCCCUCCGACGCCACCGCCGGCCGCUGGGUCCCGACCCCGUCUCCCCCGCCGCCACCCCUCUACUCCCAGUCAUGCCCCUUCCACCGCAACGCCUGGAACUGCCUCCGCAACGGCCGCCGCCCCGUCGCCGCGCUCUCCUGGGCCCCCACUCGCUGCGGCGCCAUCCCGAGGCUCGAUCCCGCCGCGUUCCUCGCGGCGGCCAGGAGGCGCCGGAUCGGGUUCGUGGGGGACUCGCUGUCGGAGAACCUGGUCGUCGCGCUGCUCUGCGCGCUCCGGUCCGGCGACGGCGGCGCGCGCAAGUGGAAGCGCCGCGGCGCGUGGCGGGGCGGCUACUUCCCCCGGGAGAACGUCGUCGUCGGGUACCACCGCGCCGUGCUGCUCGCCAAGUACACGUGGCAGCCUGUAGAGAAUUCCAAACCUCAGAGUGAUGGAAUAAUGGGAACUUACAGAGUUGAUGUUGACAUUCCUGCUGAGGAUUGGGCAAAUAUCACCAAGUUCUACGACGUACUCAUUUUCAACACUGGACACUGGUGGGGUCCGGAUAAAUUCCCAAAAGAAACUCCCCUUGUUUUCUACCGAGGAGGAAAACCAAUCGAGCCUCCACUCGGCAUCUUUGAUGGACUGAAGGUAGUCCUCAAAAGUAUGAGCUCGUACAUCGAAAGGGAGGUCCCAAGUACAACAAUGAAGCUGUGGCGCACACAAUCACCCAGGCACUUUGAUGGAGGCGAAUGGGAUCACAACGGCAGUUGCUUGUCUAAGAGGCUCCUCGAAGAACACGAGCUGGAUUCCUGGUUCGAUCCCAGGUUUGGGGGAGUGAACAAGGAAGCGAGACUAGUAAACUCAGUGAUCCAGGAAGCGCUAGUUGGCACGGAUAUCCAGCUGCUCAACCUGACGUACAUGAGCGAGUUCCGCGCCGACGCCCAUCCAGCUAUCUGGCUCGGGAAGAAGGACGCGGUGGCCGUCUGGGGGCAGGACUGCAUGCAUUGGUGCCUGCCAGGCGUACCGGACACGUGGGUCAACAUCUUGGCUGCGCGGAUCUUGCACUACUUCAAGCAGGGUGAAGGUUGA